UAAGCCUAUGACAGAGAUCCUCCGUAAU
rnacentral:sRNA from 1 species